UCUGACAGUUUGACAGCCUAUGGCCAUCUAGCGCUGUAAACAAGAAAUGUGGAAAAUUUAAAACGGUCAAAUGAAAACGAUACAGCCUCGCUCUAGCUAAUCGAGACUAACUAAAACUCUACUUAAUCAAAACUAACUAAAAUGACAAAGAAUAAAAUCCCGAAAAAAUCCCGAAAAAAACUGGAUACUUACGUAAUAUUGUUAGGCAACUGGCGAGACUGUUGAAGAUCGCAUUGUCAAAAAAUGUGUUCUAUCAACAACGUCAGCAAGCUAAGGCUAGAAGCUUGAUUCUCGAAAUCCCUUUCAUGAGCAAUAAAGACUAAGUGUUCAAUACUAGAUUCAGUGACAGAGUUCAAUGGAAAAUCCUUUCUUUUAAGGAGGCUGAUUAUGGUUGUGGUGUGACAAAGAGAAAAGGAGAUUUGGAAUUCAGCACAACACAAAAUUAGAUUGCGUCUAUCAAGGCGACGAGUCCUCCAGGGCCACGACUGUUUGUGCUAACAAAAUAGUGUUCCGAUUGGUAUUCCGAUUUUAAUGUUUGGUAGAUUAAUGGUGAUUUUUUGUGUUAGUACGUCCGAUAAUUAACUACCUAGGAGAAGAUUAUCAAGUUCUAUAAACUGAAGACAUUUUCAGGUAUUACAUAAAACACGAGUAUAUUCAUAUUCAGGGGAAACAGAAUACGAUCGUUGCUUCAACAGGAAACGAGGAACGGGUUGUUAUCUUUCUUCAAACUAGUAAACAUACUGUUAAUUACUGGGUUAAUAAAUGAACUGCUAGUUUAAACUGAAAAAAAACUAACAUUAUUCAAAUUAGGCGCUAUUCUAGGCUAUGAGUAAAACGCCUGGUA